rnacentral:tRNA from 1 species
GGGCUGGUAGCUGAGACGGCGUAGCGCCUGGCUGAAGACCAGGAGACGAGGGUUCGAACACCUCCCGGCCCA